GGAAGAUUGUCGUCUUCACGGGGUUGCUCAAGCAUUUUAGAAGUGAUGCCAAGAUAGUGACGAUCAUUGGUCAUGAGGUAGGAAGAUUUCAUUGUUUGGUUGGCCAUGCUGUGGCUCGACAUUCUGCAGAGACUAUUACAAAGAACUUGUGGUUUGCAAUUCUGCAGCUGGUACUUUAUCAAUUUGUUACGCGCCUGAUUUUGUCAACACAACGUCCAAUCUUUUCUUGAGGCUUCCUUUCUCCUGAAGGUACAUUACAGUUCUUUGUAAUUUAGUUUCUAGUCCUUUUUAGUCAUAAUGUUAUGAUUUUUCUGAACAUCUCUUGUUAGUGCUCUCUUGUUCUGAUGAUUAAUGAGGAUGCAUGCGUGUUCUGGUUGCAAAUAAGGAAUGGAGGUCUCUACAGGUUUGAUACAAUGGUCUGGAUUAGUGACGCAGCCACAUAGUGCCCAGGGGGCAUGUUUCUCCUCUCAAGUUUUCGAUGGGCAAUUGUAAAGAAGGGAAUUGUAUUUGACAAAGACCCUUGACACUCCCUAUCACAAAAAAAAUUUAGUAUUGUUGAGCAAGGUUACCGGUGGUGACUCUGCACUCAGAGAUUAUCUUUCAACCCAUCCAUCUGGGAAAAAGAGAGCUGAAUUGCUGGCUCAAGCUUAAGAUCAUGGAAGAAGCACUCACCAUGCAACCACUAACACAGUCCCACUUUACCUCCCAUAGCAUUAAGUUUGUCUUAUAAAUGUAAGACAUAAUUUGAAAACAAGAAGACAUUAGGAUCAUAAAUAUAAUGAAUAGAAUUAACAUAAAGUAGUUAUGAAC